UACGUAGGGUGCAAGCGUUAAUCGGAAUUACUGGGCGUAAAGCGUGCGCAGGCGGUGAUGUAAGACCGAUGUGAAAUCCCCGGGCUUAACCUGGGAACUGCAUUGGUGACUGCAUCGCUCGAGUAUGGCAGAGGGGGGUAGAAUUCCACGUGUAGCAGUGAAAUGCGUAGAUAUGUGGAGGAACACCGAUGGCCGAAGGCAGCCCCUGGGUCAAAACUGACGCUCAUGCACGAAAGCGUGGGGAGCAACAGG
rnacentral:rRNA from 1 species